GUAAAUGGUUUAUUCUGAGCCUAGUAAUUUUAUUACAUUCAUUAUAUUUCUAAAAAAUUAUCUGGAUCACAACUAUAUUUGUUCACGAGAGGAAUUUAUCUAGUUAUUUUAAAUCCGAGUCCACACAUUGGGACGCAGGGCAGCACAGAACAGGCACAGGCCUGUGUCGGGCUGCGCAACGCAGUGUUUGAAACAUAUUUCUGCUCCACGCCUGCACGUGUCCGUCAGUACAAUGUCGUCCUCCGAAGAACUCAUAGAGGCUGUACGGAGUGAAAGAGUCUUGUAUAACACAAGGCAUUGUGAUUACAUGAAGGGCAAACUGAAGGAUGAGAUAUGGGAACGUAUAGCUGAAGCUCUCCAAUAUAAAGACAAAAAUCGUUCCUAAAUCUUGCAUCAGAGAAUUCUGAUGUUAAGGCAAAUUCUCCGUGUGUACUUCUUUUCUCCGCAUACUUACUUCUCCACACUGACUUAUUUCCUUUGCUGCUGUCAUAUAGUAGCAUUAAAUGUUCCAUUUCGGUAUUCGAGUCGAAUUCUGAAUUCAUAUCUAAAUAAUAUUGUAAACUAGCCAUGGGCAGCACAGCAGAGAGAGUACCACUCACAACGACAGAGUACUUCUCAAUGUGCGCACCACACCUACAAGUAUGCUGCCCUGUGCUUUGCUAUGCUGUGCUGCCCUGCCCUGCCCUGUGUCUGCUCUGCUCUGCACUGCCCUGCCUCUCAAUGUGCGACUAGGCUUACGCUUUGGCGAUCAAACACCGGAACUUGCUUGAAAACAAUGUCUCAUUACAACAUGUUAUCAAGAAGACCACUGUUCUCACUUCCUGCGCCCCGACACCCCUAGCAUCACCCGUUGCCACCACCGCCACCUCUAACAACGGUGCUGUCGAUGGAGGACAUGUACAGUACCACAGUUGGAAACUACUGGCACAUCUGAGGAUUUGUUAGUUGCCUCAAGCUGUAUGACAUCGAAAAUUACACACCAAGUACCUACAUCAAUAACGGUCGCCGACACAGCCACCAAAAGUUGCAUCGCUCACAACAUACGGGCGUUGUCUGUAAUGUUGGAGACGACGCAAACCUCCACCCCAAAAGCACCACCAACCACCCUCAACUCUUCUGUUGCUGGUAAUGGAGUAGGAACUACUACUGUGCUAUCCACUAUAUUCUGGCUAGAGUGGUGGAGUUUGCUGAGAUGGAUGUGGCGUCCAAGACGAUGACGCCCCGACCACCAAAUGCUAGGGACGCAUCACGUCACCCUCAACCAACAAGCUCAACGCUUCUUCUAAUAUCCCCAUCACCCACCGAUAUUCAUAGCUGUAGUGUCAACGAUAAGGUAAUGUGCACGUCUGUUAAUAGUAGUAGCUCACUAAACACACCUGUUGAACUGUCUUCCGCCACUACUCCAACUCUUGCUCCCGCUCCUUCUAGUUCUUCCACCCUUUCUUUAUCUAUUGAGGGAAAAGGGGGGUAGUAUUGCUAUGAGACGUCAGCGUUAACCAGGAUUAUGACCUACACAAUAACAGAACCAACAGUAACAGUAGCAAGAGCAGUAGCAGCUACAGCGGCGAAGCCCAACCAGAAAUCUCCAGGAGGUUUGCGAACGAUAUAUACUCGUCUGUUGCUGAGAAUAGAUCGUGACAGGCCUUGGAAGCGCUCAAGUACAUCUAAAAUCUGGAAGUGAAACCCUUGGCAGGAAGUGUGACACCAUUGUCGUUCAGCAAAUCAACAACAUGUACCGUCGCUCACACUCGGUGUUAUGUACUAACAUAAAAGCUGUCUUCAAUAAAUAAGCACAUUCGAGAUUGGGGGUGCCCAAACGAAACCUAGUUCGCGUCAUGUGAGUGGUACCAAAGCAAAUCCAACACCCUACUAACAUCGGAGGGGGGUGUUGGUGGUGUUGCUGAGUCCACCGAUGUGUUAACUGACGUGGAAGCUGACUCAAACCAAUUAGUGUGUGUGUACAACCAAAUAUUGGACAUCUUGGUCCUUACAACAUUGGAUAUGGGUGGAUUCUCACCAAAACCAACAGACCACAAUAUCCCCUCACCUGCAGAAGAUGAGGGGGUGAAAAAGUAGACGAGAGGGGAAAGGCGGUAAUGGAGGGCGACAAGAGAGUAAAGGUUGAAUCUAGUGACUAUGGAUAUCAAUGGUGGGUAAUCAACGCUACGGACGCGACUCCAGAGGAUGACAUUCCAACUGACUGAGACAAAUUGGUUGAAACCGCUACCAGUGCUGUUGGUGUAUGCCCUGUUGGUGAGAUGUUCAUCGAAACUGACGGUAGACAUGCUAUCCCUUCCAAGAAUGCAACACUUAGCCCCCCCCCCCCCAAAAAAAAAAGGUUCACACAAGAAAGUCAGGCACAAAAAUAAGUCUAAGUCCCCAAACUAUGAAGCAUUAAUAGCAGUGACGAUGAUGAUACUUCAUUUACUGUUUCUAAGCGCCGCCUCAAGAAACCAAAGGCCUAUGAUAGAAACGCUUCAGUGCCCUCGAAGGAUCUUCAUCGGCAAGUGAUAACGAUGAAGAAGCUCAACAACCCAAGAAACAAUCAUCGCCACCAUCUCUUCCAAAAGCUGGACGCCUUUCUGAUAAACCAGACAAAUUAGACGAGGAACAUAAGAACACACCACAGAAACUCACACGAGAAGAUGACGAGGAAACAACAAGUGAUCGUAAGAGGCGGUGUACGCUCGACGACACCACAAACUAAAAAAAAAAUGCUCAGUGGUAUCAAAUGUGGCCGAUGGGAUGCCCAACUUUAUCACUUUUCCUAUAAUUAAUGACAAGUUCGUUCCAGCGAAAAGAAUUAAUACUGAUACUGUUGAAGAAGACCAUGUUAGGGAUGUUACAAAUUACUACAAACACUUACCAUCAAACACUCAAACCUCGAUUACGACUGUGUUGCAAACGACUAUUGUUCCCGCCAACAACACGACCGUCACAACUACCGGUACCAGACAAUACCAGAGUAAAAAGAUGAUACUAUAAGAAGACUCGUCGAAUGAAACUCUAUCAAGGCGACGAGUUGGAGACACGUAAAGUGUUCACCUCUACUACAACAACAAACAUGGCCAAGAUAUUCAACCCUACAGACAACCACGUGAUUUUAAUAUCCGCGAAACAUCUACCGACGAAACACUCUCCAAAUCUACUAUAAACGCCGGCGCCCCAAUGAACAUGUAGACAGACACAGAUAUAAUAAAGACCAUUCAAACCGAGUCCUGGUUCAUGACCGACCCACUUAACCUACCUUCCUCCCAACUCUCUCACCAAUAUGGUUUCCGUCACAAAAUUCAUAAUGCUACUACUAUUAUCACUCUUGCAUAUUACAUAGAAUAUAAUAGUAGCCGAACAAACUCGUUCGGUUGAGAUGUGUAACAAACUUGACUAAGAUGUGUAACAAACUUGACUAAGAUGUGUAACAAACUUGACUGAGAUGUGUAACUCUACAAUAGUCCUCCCGAAGAGUUUAUAACUUUGCUGCCACUACUGCUGCUUUGCUGUAGCCUGUCAUUAAUGUUCGACGUGAACUAAGAAGUUGUUGAACGAUGUGUACAUACAUAACCAGACUAAAUAAUGUGGAUGUUAUACUCUGCUACAGUUUUUGACAUAAUAAAACUCAAUGAAGCUACAUGCUUUUUGUAC
rnacentral:lncRNA from 1 species